UUGGCCCUAAAUCUUGAUGCUUACCAUACUGAAGUAUCCGCCUGAGAACUACGAGCACAAACGCUUAAAACUCUAAGGACUUGGCGGUGCUCCACACCCAC
rnacentral:rRNA from 1 species